rnacentral:rRNA from 1 species
GAUAGACGCUGGCGGCGUGCCUAACACAUGCAAGUCGAACGCCCUUUUGCGCAAGUGAGAGGGAGUGGCGGACGGGUGAGUACCACGUGGGUACCUACCUUGAGGUGAGGAAUACCACCGAGAAAUCGGUGACAAGACCGCAUACGCUCGGGCAACCGAGCAAAGUCAUGCAAAUGACGCCACAAGAUGAGCCUGCGCCUGAUUAGCUGGUUGGUGAGGAACAGCUCACCAAGGCGACGAUCAGUAGCUGGUCUGAGAGGAUGAUCAGCCACACUGGGAUUGAGAACGGCCCAGACU